GGUUGGUCCCUUCGCGACGAUACAUUGUGAACCCCGUGAGAUCCGGAAGGGAGCAGCGGCAGCAGUGGACUCGGGCGCCGGAGUGUGGCUGGCCGGG
rnacentral:SRP_RNA from 2 species